rnacentral:rRNA from 1 species
UGGGGAAUUUUGGACAAUGGGCGCAAGCCUGAUCCAGCCAUACCGCGUGAGUGAAGAAGGCCUUCGGGUUGUAAAGCUCUUUCAGACGGAAAGAAACGGUUACGGCUAAUACCCGUGACUAAUGACGGUACCGUAAGAAGAAGCACCGGCUAACUACGUGCCAGCAGCCGCGGUAAUACGUAGGGUGCGAGCGUUAAUCGGAAUUACUGGGCGUAAAGCGUGCGCAGGCGGUUUGGUAAGACAGAUGUGAAAUCCCCGGGCUUAACCUGGGAACUGCAUUUGUGACUGCCAGACUAGAGUGUAGCAGAGGGGGGUAGAAUUCCACGUGUAGCAGUGAAAUGCGUAGAUAUGCGGAGGAACACCGAUGGCGAAGGCAAUCCCCUGGACCUGUACUGACGCUCAUGCACGAAAGCGUGGGGAGCAAACAGGAUUAGAUACCCCCGUAGUCCCUGAGCGGGCUGGCAAGGCGCAU